UAGGGAAUCUUCCACAAUGGGCGAAAGCCUGAUGGAGCAACGCCGCGUGUGUGAUGAAGGGUUUCGGCUCGUAAAACACUGUUGUAAGAGAAGAAUGACAUUGAGAGUAACUGUUCAAUGUGUGACGGUAUCUUACCAGAAAGGGACGGCUAACUACGUGCCAG
rnacentral:rRNA from 1 species